rnacentral:misc_RNA from 1 species
UCCGCGUUAUUCGCGGCAGUCUCUUCAGAGUGCCCAACUAAAUGAUGGCAACUGAAAACGAGGGUUGCGCUCGUUGCGGGACUUAACCCAACAUCUCACGACACGAGCUGACGACAGCCAUGCAGCACCUGUGUGGAAAGCUCCAUUGCUGGAGAGAGACGAUCUCUCGUCCUGUCUUUCCCAUGUCAAGCCCUGGUAAGGUUCUUCGCGUUGCGUCGAAUUAAACCACAUGCUCCACCGCUUGUGCGGGCCCCCGUCAAUUCCUUUGAGUUUCACCCUUGCGAGCGUACUCCCCAGGCGGAACACUUAACGCGUUAGCUGCGGCUCUGAGCCGUUGACGGGCUCAAAACCUAGUGUUCAUCGUUUACAGCGUGGACUAC